CAAGUCGAGCGCGAAAAGCCUUCGGGCUGAGUAAAGCGGCGGACGGGUGAGUAACGCGUAGGAAUCUACCUGGUAGUGGGGGAUAACUUGGGGAAACUCAAGCUAAUACCGCAUACGCCCUAAGGGGGAAAGCGGGGGACCUUCGGGCCUCGCGCUAUCGGAUGAGCCUGCGUAGGAUUAGCUAGUUGGUGGGGUAAAGGCCUACCAAGGCGACGAUCCUUAGCUGGUCUGAGAGGAUGAUCAGCCACACUGGAACUGAGACACGGUCCAGACUCCUACGGGAGGCAGCAGUGGGGAAUAUUGCGCAAUGGGCGAAAGCCUGACGCAGCCAUGCCGCGUGUGUGAAGAAGGCCUUAGGGUUGUAAAGCACUUUCAAUUGGGAAGAAAAGUUUGUCGUUAAUAGCGCCAAGCUCUGACAUUACCUUUAGAAGAAGCACCGGCUAACUCCGUGCCAGCAGCCGCGGUAAUACGGAGGGUGCGAGCGUUAAUCGGAAUUACUGGGCGUAAAGCGCGCGUAGGCGGUUUGUUAAGUCAGCUGUGAAAGCCCCGGGCUCAACCUGGGAACUGCAGUUGAUACUGGCCGACUAGAGUACGAGAGAGGGAGGUAGAAUUCCAUGUGUAGCGGUGAAAUGCGUAGAUAUAUGGAGGAA
rnacentral:rRNA from 1 species